CCAGCCUGGGUGACAGAGCGAGAGUCCGUCUCAAAAAAAAAAAAAGAAAAAAAUCCAUUUAAUCAGAGCCAUACUUGUUGAUUACUACAGGUGCUUCCCGUAUCUAAUACCUCCAGCAAGAAGGUUUGCGAAAUGGGCAGAGAGUAAUAGGAAGAGUUUCAGGAAGAUGGUUUGAGUGAAAAUCAUUUCAGAACCGAGCCCUGCGAAGUCUUGGUUUCUGCAAUCCACCACAGUUUGGGAAAAUCGGGAAUUUUGUUUAGUCCAUUUCUAUUUUUGUGCACCACAAAUAUGUAAACAAAGCUGGGAUCUUCGUCGGGGGCGGAGGGAAGGGCGACAGAACCCUGACAUCUAAUACUGGUCAUCGGUAUUUCCAUGUGUUUCCUGAUCCCAUUGUCUCUGCUAUUUAAAUUAAUUAAUUCCACAAGUAUGCACUCAGUAAAUAUUGUGAGCCAGGCACUAUUCUCGGCUCUGUGGUUGCAUCAGUGAACAAAACAGACGCUAAUCCUGCUUUCGUGAGCCAUCUAUAAUAGAAUGGGCGAGUCAAGAAAUUGACACAUGCAUUAGAAAAAUAUGUAGCGUGUCGCUGAGUCGUCUGGGAGCUCUCCGAGGCAAAUAACUUUUGAAGUUGGCAUGAGCAGGAUAUUGUGCAAUGGGGCUCACUGGCUGCGUCCCAGGCCUCCGCAUCUGAUGUGAACCACAGCUUUGCAAUCGGGUCCCCGUGCCAUCCAAAAAUAUUUUGUGACCUUGCCGGUUGGCAGUUUUUUAAAAAUGUUAUUUUCAGUCUCCAAAAAAGGGAAACAUCAAAGUGCAGGCUGUCCACUCCUGCCCUUCUUGAUAGACACAGACAGCUGGGCCACACAAUCAGCCAUUGUGGCGACAAGUGCCCAACUGUUAUAAAUAGACGGCGGGCUCGCACGUGAAGCGCUCCAGAGGAAGGGCAAGUGCUCUGGGGACACUGCCAACUGCUGUUUCCGUCGAGAGCUCUUCUCAAAGAUCAAUAUUAUUUUAUGUCUCAGUGACUGAAUUUGAAAAAACGACUGUGAAAGCACCUGGUAACUUAACUGUCUCCAGGAUUCCAUUCCAAACGCAUCUUCUCUCUUCACUGUUAAUCUUAGAUGUUUCCCAUGCUUAUUUAGUAAUCAUUGCCUGACGGCCCACUUCACUGCGAUUUACAGUCUCUUGCGGCUCACUUGAAAUGGUAGAGUUAUGGAUAACCGCGCUGGUGUAUGUGCGUGUGAUGCGUGGCCGGAAGCGCAUGCCCAUUGAAUAAUCACGUUCGUCCCACAUCUUAGCCCCUCUUCCAAGACAUGUUUACUAUCGUUUACGUGUGACAUGUCAAAACAUCUUAAAACUAUGCCACGCAUGUAAUAGGCUCUCAGUGAUUAAAAAAUCAGUUUGUCUCUUAAGGAGAAAAGAAUAACAGCAUGUGACUCUUGUGAGUCCCUGACAAAGAAUCUGUUGUUCCCCGUGCACUUGAAGAGCCGCUCAUGUCAAGAAGCAACUUGUGAUUAUGCAAUGUGUGACUUAAGGCAUUGUCAGAUGCGUUCGGCUGAAACGGGACCCCGCCCCAGCAGUUUGCCUUACUAAGUUAACAUGGUAGGUCAGAUUUUAGUAUUGUAGAAAAAGCCACAUUCAAUAUUCUUUGAGUAGCAUAUUUAUUUCCUAGGGCUACUGUACCAAAGUACCUCAAACCAGGUGGCUUCAAACAACAGAGUUACACGCUAGUUGAUAUCUAGUGAUUCAAAGAACAGAAUUCCACACUAGUUGUUAUCUAGGAAUGCGGAGUGAGUGAUAGAGGGGGUUUUGGUGGCGUUAUAUUCUAAUUUUGAAGUAAGUUUAAAUUUACAGAGAUGCUCCCAAACAGUAUAAAGAAUUCCCAAAUACUCUUCACCCAGAUUCCCUGAAUUAACAUUCCGACAUGUUUGUCUGUCUGUCUCUCCACAUACACACAUCCCUUUUUUCCGGAAUAAUUUGAGAAUAGACUGCAGAGAGUGCCUCUAGAUUCUCCUGUGUGGGUUUCCUAAAAACAAGGACGCUGUCCCGGAUAGCCUGCACCGACCUGCCCAAAUCAGGACGUGGGCACUGUCACACCAUGCCACCAAAUGCAGAGGCCCCGGAGCCCGCCCAGGACCACAGGCGCCGUCUGUGUCAAUGGCUCUCGAGUCUCCUUCAAUCUGGGGCUGUUCCUUCGUCUCUGUCUUUCACGACCUUGACAUUUUUUUAAGAGAACAGGCCAGUUACUUUGUAGAAUGUCCCUCGGUUUGGGCUGGUCUCAUAUUCCUUCAUGAUGAGAAUCAGGUGGUAGGUUCCUGGCAGGAGAGUCCCUGCAGGGUUGUCACGACAGGAACGCACACAGGUCUGAUCAGUCCCAUUUCUGGAGAAGUUAACUUAUCAUUUGGUUGAGGUGGUGUCUACCAGGUUUCUCCACUGUAAAAUUAAUUUGUUGGUAUUUUGUAAUUAUCAGUUAAAAAGUACUGUUUCUGGUGGGGAGAUUUUUUGGGGACUCGGAAAAUAUCCUGUUUCUCAUUAAGCUUUUUGCCCAUUUGUUUUAGCAUCCUGGGAUGAUUCUUGCCUGAGGGAAUUAGUAUGAGCAUUGCCAAAUGGUGAUGUUUCUAGUUGCAUUGUUUCUUUUGCAUUGAUUAGUUGGCAUUCCACUGCAAGCUGGAGCUUGCCUGCUGUCUUUCUCUCCUUCCUAUCAAUACACUCAUAGACUCCUAUUUUACCCAUUGGGUUAUAAUUCAUUACCAUUAUCAUUUGCUUCGAUACCCAGAUUGUCCCAGAUUUGGCCAAAAGCAGCGCCUCCAAGCUGGCCCCUGUGUUCUUUUGAUGUGUUCAUGUCAUUCUUUGAGCACAUCUUUACUUCUUCUUCUUUUUUUUUUUUUUUUAGAUGGAGUCUUGCUCUGUUGCCCAGGUGGGAGUUCAGUGGCGUGAUCUCUGCUCAUUGCAAGCUCCGCCUCCCGGGUUCACGCCAUUCUCCCGCCUCAGUCUCCCGAGUAGCUGGGACUACAGGCGCCCGCCACCACGCCCGGCUAAUUUUUGUAUUUUUAGUAGAGACGGGGUUUCACUGUGUUAACCAGGAUGGUCUCAAUCCCCUGACCUCGUGAUCUGCCUGCCUCAGCCUCCCAAAGUGUUGGGAUUACAGGUGAGAGCCACCAUGCCUGGCCAGGUUUUUUCGUUUUUGUUUUUGUUUUUUUUGAGAUGGAAUCUCACUCUGUUGCCCCGGCUGGAGUGCAAUGGCGUGAUCAUGGCUCACUGAAACCUCUGCCUCCUGGGUCCAUGCAAUUCUCCUGCCUCAGCCUCCCAUGUAGCUGGGAUUACAGGCGUGCGCCACCACACCCAGCUAAUUUUUGUAUAUUUAGUAGAGAUGGGGUUUCACCAUGUUGGCCAGGCUGAUCUCCAACUUGUAACCUCAGGUGAUCUGCCUGCCUCGUCCUCCCAAAGUGCUGGGAUGACAGGUGUGAGCCACUGCUCCCGGCCACAUGUUUAGUUCUUGGUUCUAGGCUCACCCGGAACUUUCCUUGCUCCAGCCCUGGAAUCAGCCAUUUCUCCAAUAAGCCCUGGUUCCUUUUAGUAGAAAGUGGUUUUUAGAAACCAGGAUCUAAGUAUUAGGUGUGUUCACGCUACUGGGCUAUUACGGCUACAAGGACUUCUCAAGCAGCGUAGUUAGGAAUUUUUUUUUUUUUUUUUUUUUUUUGAGACGGAGUUUCACUCUUGUUGCCAAGACUGGCAUGCAGUGGCAGGAACUUGGCUCACCGCAACCUCUGCCUCCCGGUUCAAGCAGUUCUCCUGCCUCAGCCUCCCUAGUAGCUGGGAUUACAGGCAUGCGCCACCACGUCCGGCUAAUUUUGUAUUUUUAGUAGAGACGGGGUUUCACCAUGUUGGUCAGGCUGGGUCUCAAACUCCUGACCUCAGGUGACCCAUCCAUCUUGGCUUCCCAGAGUGCUGGGAUUACAGGCAUGAGCCACCGCGCCUGGCAUAGCUAGGAAAUUAAACAUAUGCAUGUACUUCCCUACACGUACACAUAUGUUUGUACAUACACACACGGGCACACAUGCGUUUGUAGUUCUUUGUAUCCAUCUGUCCCGCUCGUAUCUAUGUAUCCAUUCAUCUCAUAUAAAAAUCAUGAUACCAUCCAA